rfam:Carnobacterium maltaromaticum LMA28 complete genome
AUGAAAUCGUUACGUAAGGAUGAGUAGCUUAGCUUAAUUUUUCUGUAGAGAGUCAGUGGUUGGUGAAAACUGAUGUUAAAUGAGUAAGUGAAUGGCCCUUAUAGUGUUGCUUUGAACCCUAAUUUGAAAGUAGGAGCAAACGUCUUCUCACGUUACUGAGAUAGAGUAUUUAACGUACUCGAAAUGAGAUAAAAAGACUUGUUUAUUCGUCUUUUUAAUAGAGGUGGUACCGCGAAUUUUCGCCCUCUAA